UCGCCCAUUUAAGACUUGAAAUGUCCUAAAUGAUUAACAUAGAGGGGGGUAAGGCAGUUCUCUCAUAAACCUGAGGUGAAGACCAAAUCCUCUCUGCGGAUCCUGUCGGGAGAAAUAAAC
rnacentral:snoRNA from 1 species